AACUGAUACUACCUGCGGGAACCUGCGGAGGGAUCAUUAGCGAAUCGCCCCCUUUAGGGGGCACCAAAUCCGCGCCGCAAGGCGCGAGAUCCCACACACCUGUGCACUUUGCCGGGCAGGGGAGCCGCUUGCGGCCAAGCCCCCGCCCGUCCCACAUACCUUACACCUGUCAUGUAAAUGAACGUGUCUUAUGAUAACCAAAAACACAACUUUCAACAAUGGAUCUCUAGAUCGGAAGAG
rnacentral:misc_RNA from 1 species